rnacentral:rRNA from 1 species
GACGAACGCUGGCGGCGUGCCUAAUACAUGCAAGUCGAGCGCAGGAAACUGACGGAACUCUUCGGAGGGAAGGCAGCGGAAUGAGCGGCGGACGGGUGAGUAACACGUAAGGAACCUGCCUCAAGGAUUGGGAUAACUCCGAGAAAUCGGAGCUAAUACCGGAUAGUUCAUCGGACCGCAUGGUCCGUUGAUGAAAGGCGCUCCGGCGUCACCUUGAGAUGGCCUUGCGGUGCAUUAGCUAGUUGGUGGGGUAACGGCCCACCAAGGCGACGAUGCAUAGCCGACCUGAGGGUGAACGGCCACAAUGGGACUGAGACACGGCCCAGACUCCUACGGGAGGCAGCAGUAGGGAAUCUUCCACAAUGGACGAAAGUCUGAUGGAGCAACGCCGCGUGAGUGAUGAAGGUUUUCGGAUCGUAAAACUCUGUUGUAAGGGAAGAACACGUACGAGAGGAAAUGCUCGUACCUUGACGGUACCUUACGAGAAAGCCACGGCUAACUACGUGCCAGCAGCCGCGGUAAAAC